rnacentral:sRNA from 1 species
CACAUGACCUUUUUAAGGUGCCACCGUGUUUUUUUGCAGUGCUGCAGUGUUGAAUGAAUGACCGAUUGACUGACUGACAGCAUUUCGGAGCUCGGAGAGGAGCACUCAGUCACGUCAUCAUCAUGAUGACCAUGGCAUCCAUGGCAGUGACCAACGAACAACCAACAGCCAAUGGACUCAGUGGACGAGGGGCGGUGCAAGAAGCCACGACGAUGGCGUCCCCGUCCCAAGUGAGCCAACUGAACCACCACAGGCGGUUCAAUCAGCAGCCCACCGGCACCACCAAGGAAAGUAACUCGGUGUUCGGUAUUGUCUUUCCUGCACGAGAAUGUAAAACAGCAGCGCAAAAAGAGCUGGGAAUAGCAGCAAAAAAUGACGAGAGAAGCCGACGAAGGCGUAGACGAAGACAGGAAGAGGGAGCUCCAGAAAAUGGCUUCCAAUUUCACAAGACUUGGACUCUGUUUUCGGGUCGGCUCCUAAGAUCAUCAUCAUCAUUGGCCCUCAGCUCUCACCUCAUAAACACGGAAUUGGGACGACUCUGGCGCAGAGGGCGUGGCCUUGUAUUCAAGAAAGAGAAUCGCUCCAGAACUGAAUAAGGGAAGAACCAUUUCUCAGCUACGAAUUACCAAACGAAUCGAAAGUGACUUGGCCAGCAAACCAUUCACCAUUACCAUUUGUCGGUGAAACCGAUUUUGGUCUCUGCGCCCCCCAGAGCUAAUUUAUGUGAAAGUGGAAAAUACUUCAAGACUAGGUGGUAGUGACAAAUGCCGUAUGCUGAUCAAGCGUAUAAAAUUCGAAAUUAAUUAAGGCCUGAAAUUAAAUGCCCAGAGAUUUGGCUGCUGAUGGUGGAACUGGAAAGCUACUGACGCGGCAGGGUGUUCAAUGGCACCAGUAAGCCUUUCGAUUUUAUGGCUUCCAUUCGAUGUGGAAGCGUGAAGGAGUUAUUAAAAUGAGUCGUGAGUUGGUUAUGCUGGGACUGAUGAAUGUUUAGCCGCAUCUUAGAGCUUCUUACUCAUCGGGAUCACAUUAAAUAGUUGGAAAAGCUGCCAGGCACUGAAGAAACUAAACAUGACCAGCGAAGUACACAAGAAACAAAUAAGCAGAAUAUUGGCCAUUACAACUUCAUUUACGUUUUUUAGUGAAUAAAGAUUAUUCCUUAAUGGUGUUUAAAAUUGGAAUGCUACGAUGUCGUAAAUCCAUCUUGCUCCUCCCUCUAUUUCCUGUGAUGGAUUCUCGAUAUUAGAUGGGCAAAGCCUCAGAAAGCGGCACCAUUGCCAGCGACAGCACUUCAUCAAAUGACACGCCCACACAAGCGGCUUGUCCACGUAGUUCGGUAUUUACCCAUAUCGAAUCCGUUACCCAUGGCUAGCCCUUUCCCCGCAGAGCUUCUGAAGUGAGCAAUUACCAACAACUCAUUUCACUAAACGACAAAUGGUUCACCCACCGAGCGGAGGAAGGAAGGGAAGUGCUGUCAAAAUCGCUGACAGCAGAAGUUUGCCAGAAAGCAUUUCUCCAAGCCUUUGCCUUGGCAGGCAGCCGGUAAGCCUGGCCAUUAAAGCUAGAUUUCUGUGAAUUAGUUAACCGAAAAAAAAGAGAAUGAAAUAAAGGCCCCGGGAAGACAACGAGCCAAGACAAAGAGACAUAAACGUCCACCCACUUGUUGCUGUUAAAGUGUCAGUUACAAUGGCUGCAACCCAUUCCCAGUGGUAAAUGGUAGCAGUAAGCAGUUACCAGGUACCUCUGGGUAGUAACUGCUGGGAACUUUGGCUCGCUCGCCCGCAAAUAUUUGGCAUUUCACGUUGGGGGACUAUGAAAUAAAGCCGUUGUAUGAGGAUCAUGUAUGUAUGUUUUUCUUGCUGGAGGAGCAGGAGCAGGAGCAGGAGAUCCCCCUUCUAGCUCUACGAUCCUACGAUGUUACAGCUUCGGCAGCUCAAAUUACAGCUUGCACACCCUCAGGCAGAGAAGUCACUGUGACUGGGGGACUGUAACUGUGACUGAGGCGAGGAAGUGGCAGAUCAACUGGGGCCAACAAUUGCAGUUGGCACUCAGCAAAAUAACAGGGCCAAAAUGGAUUAUUAAUAUUAAAAUAUUUAAAAAAAUUAGUAUCAGACGAAUAUUUAUCUUCCAAAGAUAACGUAUUUGUCGCCUGUAGAGAUCCUUUGACUUGCAUUCAACUGAUUAUUCCUUGAUGGUUCCUUUAUUUUUUAUUUCCAGUGCUAACUGACGGGAAGGUCUUGGAGCACCCCUUAUCCCCUUUUAAACUUCUGACCGCUGGCUUUGUUUGUUUCUUUGCUCUGAAACAACAAAGCUUCUCCAGAACAGCACCAAGAGAUUUCCGUCGUCUAACGGUGCUUGUGGUUGCUAUUCCCGCCUUCCCAGCAUGACAGGCGACACUUUUAUGUGUCACUGGGUUAGUUACGAUCUCUGGAGUCCCCUGGGGACCUUCCACAGACAGACCUCCCUGGGGCACAAUUACGGUUUUUCGGGCAAUUAACUCUCGAGAAGAAUUCUCCUCGCUUCGAGAGCCCUGCGCAAUGCCUUUUCUAAUUAUUCGCUCUUAGUUCGGGUGCAUUCUUCAUUCACUCAUUACACGCAUAUUAAAAUUUAUUGCAAAAUUUCUAUAGUCAUUUCUCAUAGAAGACGAGUAGCCGAAUAGCCGAGUAGCCGCCGUCUGCGCAGUAGGAGCUGCACCAGCGGACCAUCCGCUGAUGAGAAGGAGCACCCUCCUCGCCUGUCCUGCGAUCUGAUCCUCCAGCACUUUUCCACUGCCCAUUGCUUGUGCAGUAAUUAAAGCGAUUCAAUUUUCUGAUUAGUUCGCCAUGGCCAUGAACGCACUCCUCUGGCCGGUGUGGUUGCCAGGUGAGUUUUCAGGGAGUUGCCCGGAGACGGAGAUGAAGAUGGAGACUCGGGAACUGAACCUGGGCUCUUUAACUGGCCACUGGACUGGACCAUAAAAUGCAAAGAGCCAGCAGCACUUGCUGUGAGAAAAUGUUGCAGUCAAGGGGACCAGGUUGUUCGGGUUUGGCUUUUAUCAGGGAAUUAUGGUUGAACUUUUCGAAGUGGAAAUUCAAUUGAUUUUCAUGCCGAAUGCGUAGUUUAGUUAUAGUUAAUUUCCAUGUCAAAUUGCCAAGUGAUUUCAACCAGUUUUGUAAAUAUGUUUUAUAUUGACAUCAUAAUAUCUGUAUUCAUUUUUGGUCAUAAAAACUAUCGCACAUAAAACUUUUAUGUACUUCGGGUUUUUGGUCAAUAAAAACCAAUGCAUUGGAAAAAUUAAGUUUUUCCGAAAGUUUCAGUAGUUUAUUUCCUCCUUAUUUUAGUAUUUAUAAUGAUUGCAGGAUAGAGAUGAGAAAAUGACGUAAAAAUUAUAAAGAAAAACGUUCGAAUACCCAAAAAUAUGGUUGAGUGAGAAAAAUGGUCAUCAGAGGUAGAAAUAUCGUUUUGGCAUCAACUUGGGAUAUGUGAUAGAAUGACGCUAUCAUUAGUAGCUCCAUUUUCACGAAAAAUCUCCCUUUUCAUAGAUUUUAAUUAGGAAAUUCUCUUCUUUGCCGCCGUUCGGACUUCAGCUGAAUGACAUUUUUGUGCGCUCGCCUCGUUGCAUUUCAAUUCAUCGAAAUCGCGAAAUUGCUUCGAUCGUGUCACCCAAAAUGGCUCCAAGAUUGCGUAACCCUGUCCAGGUAGGCCAACUCUGGUCUUUGCCUUUUCCGAUUCAUUCAUUCGGGCUCCCAGGCCAAAAGCCACUCAUUCAUUGGAAAAACUGUGAAAAACUCAAUCAAUAGCAGAAAUACCGAUGCGUUGCUAAAUUGCCAUGCCAUUUUUCCGUCCGAAAAUUUAAAUGCCGAUAGCUCAAAUUUCCAACGACACUUUGGUCGGUCGGCUUAAAAAGUGGAACUUGCCUCUUGGCUAAUUUCCAAAUUCGAGUUCGAGGCGAGCAAUAAAUUACGCACAGUUCGCUAUGGUUCGGAUUGGUUUUAUUUCUACCAUCCGAACACAAACUAAUGAGCACUUUGGCAUUUGGCCUGGCCUAUCGGGGUCUUUAAUAAGCAUUUGACUUGGCCUACGUCCCUCCCAUCGCGAUGGGGAGAAUUUAUUUAGCAGUUUUUGGGGCGUCCCAAAAAGUGGUGGAUAAAAUUCUACCGAUCGACAGCAGGACAGCGAGACAGCAAGAGCCCCGGCCACUUUUAAUAAUUAAUUGAAAAUAAUAAAUUUAUGACAGAUUUUCGACUGGCGCUUGUCCGUUCCCCCUUUUUUUGCCCCCCAUAUGAGUGGAUCGUGGCUAACGGAUUUUGUGGAUUGGACAACGAAAUAGGCGAACACAUUUUUAAUUAAAGCAUUUGCUCGAUUCGGCGGGACAACCUGCUGUUUUCCACUCCAUCCUGUUAGGCCCCCCAUUCUAGGUAUUUAGUGGGUGUUCCGAUUGCGGAAGAUUGGAUGCAAUUUAUGGUGGGGGCUGUCCAAUGGAUUUUCUUGAACAGAUCUCACAAUCAAAACGGAUAUGCACGAAGGACAAGUAGCCCAAAGUUUAUCUGAAUAUUAAGAAUCUGGAAUAUUACCAGUUUCUACUCGUUGAAAUAUAAAUUUCUCUAAUUAUCUACGAGUCAAAGAGUUUUAGCCCCCAGACACUCACUCACUCACUUUCUUCGGAGAUGAAUAAAUUGUGGAAUGGAACUGGGAACACUCAUUUGCUCAUUUGCAUACCGCUUCUCGAAUCUCUGAGCCGUAAUUUAGAUUUCGAUUUUGUUUUAUUAAUCAAUAGAUGGCAGACCCGAAAGGGGACAAAAGUGGAGAUGAGUUGGGGAAUCCAUUCCAUUGCCCUCGAGCCCGGCUGUCCAAAUGUUUUUGUUGGCGUUUGGGUCCAAUAAAUUGUGCCUCCUGCUUCUGUCUCUAGCCCUCUCUCUCUCUCUCUCUCUCACACACACUCUCUCUCUCUUUCUUUGCCUUACAGAGCUUUAUAUCAGCGCAAUUAAUAGCAGAUUAUGCAAAUCAGGUGGAGAUAGAUGAUAAUACGUUAGAUGCGUACGACUUGCCGUUUGUUUCAGCCUCGUGUUUUUUAUCAUCGAAAUGUAUUUUGGAGGAAGAUGACCCAAAAUUUCAGUAAAACAUUCAUUCUGGCGUUAUGUUGGUCAUGAGUGGAGUGCUGAGCCGAGUAAAUGUAGUGCGAAAUUGAAAAUUGUCUUGUGUCUUAUAUUCGUAGAUUAGGCGCGUAAAUCGAUAAGCGAAAAGCAAUUUCCGAUUGGGCUGAGUUAUAUGCCGCACGAUUUAUGAAUGGCGGGGGGUGGAGUGCAAUUUGCAAGAGCCGAGGAGGUGCAGCAGAUGAUCAGCGUCGUCGAACUGGAAGUAGAAGUGCACCUUGGUAGGAGAAGUGCACAAGUAGCAGCUGCUGUCGAAAACUGAGGCAGGGCGAAUAAUAUAGAAUUAAUUAAAGAUGGUAAAGAUAAUUGAUUAGGCACAGGCGAUUAAUUCAUGCCUCGUUUGCGUUCGAUCAGAUAGUAACUAGCUAGUAAUUGUGACUGGGGCAUCUUAAAAUCCAUCAGCUCCCAGAAGAAAUCGUUAAAAAUAAUAAGAAACGAGAUAAGAAAGAGCUUUUUUAUUUCAAGUUACAUACAGGGUAUCUAAACCAACUAUGAAAUACUCAGCAAAAUCAAAUGAUAAAUAAAUGAUCCGCAAGUGUUAUCAUUUUGAAAUGUAACGAAGAUAAGCGAUGGUUUGUGAAUGCGAAACAUUUCCACACACAUGUAUCAAAUGUUGUAGCUCGAAUCGAAGGGAUUGAUGAACCCGCCCAAAGUUAAAUUCCUCAUUUGCCGCGCAUCUUACAGAUCUCAGGCUGUACAACACAACUGUUUAACUAAACAGCAUCCUGUGCACUCCCCGCAAACCCCUCCCCUUUCUUCGACCGGCUCAUAAAAUUUUGUAAAUUAUUUGCCGACUUUUUGUUCUGUUCUUAGCAGUCGGCGAAUCUACUGGGUGAAUAGGGGGACACCGCCCCGAAAGUUAUGGGACGCUUUGAGCAACUUGUGUGGCUCCCGGGGAAAAAGCCAGGGGCUGGGGGAAAUGCAUUUCCAUCGGCAAUGUUGUUAUCUUUUUACUGCAAAUUAUUAGUUUUUUACCGCUGACGACAAAAAACGGACAGCGGCCGCAAAGAAGAUGGAGAGCCGGGGGAAUCGGGACCGCCGAAGCGGCCAACAAAAGAAAUAAAGAGCCAAAGACGAUAAUUAAAACUCUAAUUGUAUGCGCUACCGCCGACUCGUAAGUCGUAAACUUUGGGAGAAAAAAGCAAAGGAGCUCCGAGGAAUCCGAGGAAGAGCGGGACCUUGGACCAAGUGGCAUGCUGUGAACGGGCAAACAUUGUCAGUUUGUCAGGUGGUCAGAUCCUAAAGAUGCAGAUGCUACAAAGUAGUUAACGCGCCACGAACUGGACGUAACCUUAAUUUCAAAAGCGGCGUUCCUUUGGGCCGCCUGGUGGAGCCCCAAAAUGGACAGCCGAAAAAUAAAUCAGUUAAUCAUAAAUCAGUUGAUGGAAAACUUAAAUAUUAUUACUAUCUUAAAGAACAUUAAAAAAAGUAUCAGGAAAUGCUGUACUAAUGUUGUUGUUCAGGGAUUCUCCUUUUAAUAAUUAAAGACGAAAAACCUGUGAAUCAUUGCAUCGGAAUGUUGCUGUGAUGAACAAAAAUAUGUUUCUAAAACAUGAAAAGCUCUCUGCCUCGAUUAAUCUAUGAGUGUUCAGCUAACCGCAGAAUGUCUUUUAUCUGAAUCUGAAUCUGUCGACACCCAAUCCGAAGUAGAGAAUGCUCACAGGCCGCUUUGAUCUUCUGCAGCCGAGCGCAAAAUCAAUUCGUCUAUUCCCUUCUAAGGGCACAAACCAAUGGAAACCCAGGUAGAUGGAGUAGGUAGUGGGCAGGGGGCUUCUCUGCAGCCACUUGUCUCGUUUUGCUUUACAUGCAAGCUCACAAUGUGAGUUUCGCGGUGAGCUCUGCGAUCCGAGCACUUUUGGUUUCGUAGCUCUAGGUUAGGUUAUCUUUAAGUUCGCCGCAGUCGUCUGGCGUUAUUUCCGAAACCCAGCGAGAAACCCGAUGCUGUCUGGGACCAGGCAAGUGAAACCGAGAUUCUACCUCCGAGUCGCACUGAAGUUCCAAUUGAUGGACACAAUCGCAGACGGCGACUGAAAUUCCCCUGGCUCUAAUUACGAGCUGAAAUUGUCUCGAUUCGCAUCAUAAUUUGAUUGUAUUUUUUGGCCAGACAUUUGUACCCACACAAUCGGAAUCGGAUGGCCGGCACAAUAGCCCCUCAUUAUAAGAGGUAGAAUUUCUCUACAUUGUGGGGAUAAAAUAAUAAUUAUAUCGAAGCCUUCACUUGGCUCGUUCUUCAAGACCCUUUUCUUUUUGGCUCCCCAUUCUGGGGGUAAUUUAAGUUUUAAUGCCCUGCGAUCCCCAGCAUUUGUUUACAGCAUGAUUAUUGCGUUGAUGAAGCUAAUUAUAUAGUGCAAAGAGGAGACGCGAGAGUGGGGAAGGAGUUCCCUCAAGUGGAGAUGAAAUGUGGCUGUCAGGCGAUUUGAAAUACGAGGCAGACGAUUGCAUAACCUCGCAGCGGGAGAACGGUAUCGCCAUCCUGAUCCCACAGAUACGUAUGCCCAUACGUAUGUGCAUAUGCUGUCCAGUUCGAUUUUCAUAUGCAUCGAUUGAGGCGGGCGAUAAAGAACGCGGGCCACAACUCUAUCGAUAGCAAUCGAUGUCACAUUUAAUUCAUUGUUAUGGCCAUCAUAAAUCUACGCGGGAGGGGCGUGGGUUUCCAGGGGGAUCUCUGGUGGCUGUUAUUAAGGCCAGCAUUAAUAAAAAUGUCAACGCGGCCAUAAAGCGGGAACUCGCCAUUAGGGCACCACCUCUAUCUCCCCCUCUCCGACUCGAAUUCCACCUUCCUGUAUCGGGUGGAUCUCCCCAAGCCCCCGUUUCACCCGCUCCUCGAUCGUUUUCAUUAGUAGAAUUUAAGAUGCACAUAAAAGCUCACGCACAGAUGCGUUCCGAGAGGUUGACUAGUUGGCCAAGAAGUGAGCUGUGCAACCAGCUGUGCAUGAGCCGGGGACCAGAUAUGAUGCACCGGAAACAUUUUGGGGGAAUAUGAAAACAUUUUUGAGUAAAUCAUAAACUACGUAGAGGGUUGAGUUUUACAUUACACGUAAUCUAUCUCUGUUUUUUCUCUGUAGACUAAUCUAUAAGGUUCUUGCUCCAAACUAAAGCUCCUCGGCCUGUUGCUGCUCUCGAUUGAGUCCGAAAAUGUUUUAAUCCCCCGCGACUUGGUGCCACCUCAUAAAGGCACAGAUGGGCACUGCAAGCGGAUUAGCUUAUAGAUGCAUCCUAAAUGGGCAUAAAGGUGGUAAGGUGGUGAGGUGACCCCAGCCGCACCACUUUUGAGUGACGUGCAACAGCGAGUGAACAUGGCACUAAUAUGGCUGCUUCUCCGAGGGAGUUCGCUGCAAGGGGCGUGGUCCGAUCUGAUUUUGUUUCUGUGGCGGCUGUUGCUUCUCAUUGAAGCUCUGAUGUUCUUGUGUUUCGUGUCGGCAUCGUUAGCUCACAUCAUUUGUUUGACAUGUUGCUUUGUGUGUUGACAAACGUCUUGACAGGCGACAGGCAGCCACAGAACAACAAGUAACCAACAAAACAAGCUACAAAGGCAACAAGCUGAGUCCAAAACAAAGGGGAGGAUGAAUACAGAGAAUUACAGUCACCCAAUACUUACGCCUAGUUAAGCAAUUCGUAUGGAUUCAUCGCACAGCGUGUGGACUUACCUGAAAUAAAAGACGGCAUAAAUCAGAUCACAUUUGACUAGCGUGGUGAGCCGAAAGGCGGCAAGUCCGGGGAGGGUAACAGUAACAACAUCAUGCUGACUCCUUAGAGGAAGUACAAAUUUACGUUUGGUGUUGAAAUGAAAUGCUAGAUCCAAGAACUGCAAGGGCACUGAGCGAAAAGCAAACAAAUGGCAAAGAAAAAACUAAUGACAGGAAGUGGCUUUUCUCUAAAACAGUGGCAAAGUAACUGCAAUUUUCAUUAAAUUAAGAGACGCGAGAAGUUAAUUUGCAAUGUUCUAUUACUUUAUUUAGCAAUAAAGAAAUUAUGGACACAUUCUUGCAGCACA